UACAGAGGGGGCAAGCGUUAUUCGGAAUUAUUGGGCGUAAAGGGCGCGUAGGCGGCCUGGCAAGUGGAAGGUGAAAUCCCUCGGCUUAACCGAGGAACUGCCCUCCAAACUGCUUGGCUUGAGUCCGGUAGAGGAGUGUGGAAUUCCCGGUGUAGCGGUGAAGUGCGCAGAUAUCGGGAGGAACACCCGUAGCGAAGGCGGCACUCUGGGCCGGAACUGACGCUGAGGAGCGAAAGCGUGGGGAGCAAACAGG
rnacentral:rRNA from 1 species